rnacentral:lncRNA from 1 species
CCGUAGGAGACCUAGCGAAGUCUACCUACAAUUGAAGUUGGGGGCGAAGUCCGGCUCCCGUAGGAGUCCGGGCGAAGUCUCCCUGCAGUCGGAGCCGGGGACGAGAUCCGGCUCCCAUAGGAGUCCGGGCGAAGUCUACCUGCAAUUGAAGUUGGGGGCGAAGUCCGACUCCCGUAGAAGUCCGGACGAAGUCUACCUGUAAGUGAAGUC